CCAAACUAGAUCUUAGAAAAAUGAGGUUACAAAUUAUCUCUAACUUUCCCAAUUUAGACCUUAAGAAAAAAAUAGAAAAGACUAGUUUGAAAGACCAGAGAAGAUAGGAGAGGCUAAAAUCUCCUCCAAAGGAAUCUUGUAUUUCCCAUGAGAGUACGUCUCCUAAGAAUUACGUGGCAUUAUAAAAAUUUCAAUCCGUUAGGUACAAAUUCUCCCCUCAAGUUGUCAUCAAUAACCAAAGUUCAGCCGUUAUGGUGAAUUGUUUUAAUUCACCAUCUUAUAAGUAUAUAAAAUUCAAAAGAAAAAUGAGUGUUCAUGUUAGAUUGAGAAGGAAAUCAAAUGUUGGAGAGUAUUCCAAACUGCAAGCCCACAAGGAGGAACGAGAAGCCUGACAAACUCCACCACGGUCGAUUCAUAUCCGAGCACCACACCGCAACUCCCUCAUAGCAACUUUGGUGAUCAUGCCAGAGGAACCUAUCGGCGAGCUCAGUUCACGCUGAGUAUCACGAUAAACAUAACAAAACAACACGGUGAGAACAAAAACAUGUCGAUGCAAAGAGCAAAAAGAAACACGCAAAAGGAAUUGAAGAGAUCGUCACGAAGCGGAAAUAAGAACAGCAGGUUAUGAGACCAGGGGCAGGGGAACGAUAGAGUUGGUUCCAUUGGAGCAAAUCGUCUAGCCGUCGCCACAUAAAUUGUUUUUGGAAGAGGAAGAAACGGAAGUGCCCUAGAGGACACCGGCGGCGGUGGAGGAUCGGAGGGAGAGGACGACUGCACGAGCGGCCUCCUUUUAAAAGCGCGAGCGACGGAUCACGGUUGGGUGGACCUUGCGUUUCGG
rnacentral:lncRNA from 1 species